GCCCCCGUAGCUCAGCGGAUCAGAGUGUCUGGCUACGAACCAGAAGGUCGCGCGUUCGAAUCGCGCCGGGGGUAC
rnacentral:tRNA from 1 species